rnacentral:rRNA from 1 species
GACAGAGGGUGCGAACGUUGCUCGGAAUGACUGGGCGUAAAGCGCGUGCAGGCGGCUCUGCAAGUCGGAUGUGAAAGCCCUCGGCUCAACCAAGGAAGUGCAUCCGAAACUGCUGAGCUUGAGUACUUAAGAGGAUCGCGGAAUUCCCGGUGUAGAGGUGAAAUUCGUAGAUAUCGGGAGGAACACCAGUGGCGAAGGCGGCGAUCUGGGAAGAUACUGACGCUGAGGUGCGAAAGCGUGGGGAGCAAACAGG